rnacentral:rRNA from 1 species
UACGAAGGGGGCUAGCGUUGUUCGGAAUUACUGGGCGUAAAGCGCACGUAGGCGGACAUUUAAGUCGGAGGUGAAAUCCCGGAGCUCAACUUCGGAACUGCCUUUGAUACUGGGUGUCUUGAGUAUGGAAGAGGUUAGUGGAAUUGCGAGUGUAGAGGUGAAAUUCGUAGAUAUUCGCAGGAACACCAGUGGCGAAGGCGGCUAACUGGUCCAUAACUGACGCUGAGGUGCGAAAGCGUGGGGAGCAAACAGG